rnacentral:tRNA from 1 species
UCCCUGGUGGUCCAGUGGUUAAGGUUCCACGCUUCCAAUGCAGUGGGCAUAGGUUCAAUCCCUAGUCAGGGAA